rnacentral:rRNA from 1 species
UAGUCCACGCUGUAAACGAUGUCUACUUGGAGGUUGUGGCCUUGAGCCGUGGCUUUCGGAGCUAACGCGUUAAGUAGACCGCCUGGGGAGUACGGUCGCAGGAUUAAAACUCAAAUGAAUUGACGGGGGCCCGCACAAGCGGUGGAGCAUGUGGUUUAAUUCGAUGCAACGCGAAGAACCUUACCUACUCUUGACAUCUACAGAAGCCAGCGGAGACGCAGGUGUGCCUUCGGGAACUGUAAGACAGGUGCUGCAUGGUUGUCGUCAGCUCGUGUUGUGAAAUGUUGGGUUAAGUCCCGCAACGAGCGCAACCCUUAUCCUUGUUUGCCAGCACGUAAUGGUGGGAACUCCAGGGAGACUGCCGGUGAUAAACCGGAGGAAGGUGGGGACGACGUCAAGUCAUCAUGGCCUUACGAGUAGGGCUACACACGUGCUACAAUGGCGCAUACAGAGGGCUGCAAGCUAGCGAUAGCAAGCGAAUCCCAAAAAGUGCGUCGUAGUCCGGAGUU